rnacentral:rRNA from 1 species
AAUGAUACCCGGGUAGUCCACGCCGUAAACGAUGAGUGCUAAGUGUUAGAGGGUUUCCGCCCUUUAGUGCUGCAGCUAACGCAUUAAGCACUCCGCCUGGGGAGUACGACCGCAAGGUUGAAACUCAAAGGAAUUGACGGGGGCCCGCACAAGCGGUGGAGCAUGUGGUUUAAUUCGAAGCAACGCGAAGAACCUUACCAGGUCUUGACAUCCUCUGACCUCCCUAGAGAUAGGGCCUUCCCCUUCGGGGGACAGAGUGACAGGUGGUGCAUGGUUGUCGUCAGCUCGUGUCGUGAGAUGUUGGGUUAAGUCCCGCAACGAGCGCAACCCUUGACCUUAGUUGCCAGCAUUCAGUUGGGCACUCUAAGGUGACUGCCGGUGACAAACCGGAGGAAGGUGGGGAUGACGUCAAAUCAUCAUGCCCCUUAUGACCUGGGCUACACACGUGCUACAAUGGAUGGUACAAAGGGCUGCGAGACCGCGAGGUUAAGCCAAUCCCAUAAAACCAUUCUCAGUUCGGAUUGCAGGCUGCAAC